UACAGAGGGUGCGAGCGUUGUUCGGAAUUACUGGGCGUAAAGCGCGCGCAGGCGGCUUCUAAGUCCGUCGGUGAAAGACCGGGGCUCAACCCCGUGUCAGCCAUGGAUACUGGGAGGCUGGAGACAGGUAGAGGCAAGCGGAAUUCCGGGUGUAGCGGUGGAAUGCGUAGAGAUCCGGAAGAACACCGGAGGCGAAGGCGGCUUGCUGGACCUGGUCUGACGCUGAGGCGCGAAAGCGUGGGGAGCGAACAGG
rnacentral:rRNA from 1 species